rnacentral:rRNA from 1 species
UACGAAGGGGGCUAGCGUUGUUCGGAAUUACUGGGCGUAAAGCGUGCGCAGGCGGCUUCUCAAGUCAGGGGUGAAAGCCCAGAGCUCAGCUCUGGAAUUGCCUUUGAGACUGAGUGGCUUGAGUACGAGAGAGGUGAGUGGAAUUCCCAGUGUAGAGGUGAAAUUCGUAGAUAUUGGGAAGAACACCGGUGGCGAAGGCGGCUCACUGGCUCGUAACUGACGCUCAUGCACGACAGCGUGGGGAUCAAACAGG